UACGAAGGGGGCUAGCGUUGUUCGGAUUUACUGGGCGUAAAGCGCACGUAGGCGGAUAUUUAAGUCAGGGGUGAAAUCCCGGGGCUCAACCCCGGAACUGCCUUUGAUACUGGGUAUCUCGAGUUCGAGAGAGGUGAGUGGAAUUCCGAGUGUAGAGGUGAAAUUUGUAGAUAUUCGGAGGAACACCAGUGGCGAAGGCGGCUCACUGGCUCGAUACUGACGCUGAGGUGCGAAAGCGUGGGGAGCAAACAGG
rnacentral:rRNA from 1 species